AAAACGACUCUCGACAACGGAUAUCUCGGCUCUCGCAUCGAUGAAGAACGUAGUGAAAUGCGAUACUUGGUGUGAAUUGCAGAAUCCCGUGAACCAUCGAGUCUUUGAACGCAAGUUGCGCCCGAAGCCAUUAGGCCGAGGGCACGUCUGCCUGGGCGUCUCGC
rnacentral:rRNA from 1 species